rnacentral:rRNA from 1 species
UACGAAGGGGGCUAGCGUUGCUCGGAAUCACUGGGCGUAAAGCGCACGUAGGCGGACUCUUAAGUCGGUGGUGAAAUCCUGGAGCUCAACUCCAGAACUGCCUUCGAUACUGGGAAUCUCGAGUCCGGGAGAGGUGAGUGGAACUGCGAGUGUAGAGGUGAAAUUCGUAGAUAUUCGCAAGAACACCAGUGGCGAAGGCGGCUCACUGGCCCGGUACUGACGCUGAGGUGCGAAAGCGUGGGGAGCAAACAGGG